UUUUGAUUUUGAUGACUAUCCAAAGUCAGGUGACGGAGAAUUUUUUCUGGGUGUUGCUUUUCAUGUAGAUCUUGAAGAUGACGAUGAUGAAUUUACUAUAGGCUGCAAAGAGGCCCUUGUCUAUGCUAUCGAGGAACAGAAUAGAAAGGUGUGUUGCUAAUCUUAGAUGCUAAAUAUUGUAACCGAUUAUACAUAAAUAGUUAUUUUGCAUAUAUUUUUUAAUUGUACUUAACUUAGAGUUUUUUUUUUCUAUGUUUCGGAUUAUUAAUUACAUAUCCAUCUUAAAUUUUAUUUAACAAAAUGUUUGUGUAGGGUGCAAAUCUGAUACUCCUUGAUAUUAUCAAGGCAAAUCGCGAAUCAGUUGCUUUGUAUCACAUAACUUUCAAAGCUGAAGAUGUUUCUCUUGGAGAAGUGAAAGUUUAUCAAACUAGAGUCUUCCAUAGUUUAGUUCCUGGUCACAAGGAGACUGUAGUACAUAUUUUCAGGCUAAAAGAACCAACAAACAAAGGUAAUUGAUUUAUGUUAAUAGUUAGCUUAUUUUUUUUAUUUUCUGUUGUCUUUUAUAUAGCUUUGUCUUUUUUAUAUCUUCUGUGUUAUUUGCUUUGACAACCUUUUUAUGGUUGAUAUUACCUGGUAUUGAUGGGAUAAUUGUUGCACUUUUUUCCCUGUGGUUCAGAAUUAGCAUUACCUAAACUUGAGUUUGAAAUUAAUUAUAAUUUAUCUAUGCUGUCUAUAACAUUCACUCCCAUAAUUCAGCUAAUUUGCCUGUGCUGUUACUUUUUUGCCUUUUAUUUAAUGAACAAGCUAACUGAUGCUUAUUUGUUUAUUUACUGUAGAUGAUAAAGCUGAUUGAGAUAUGAGGAUAAUUGAAGGUGCUUUAUGCAAAAAUUGACAGCAUGUCUAUGGGGUUGCUUUUACAACUUUUUCUGUUUAAAGAAUCUGUAGAUGAUGGGGACAAUAGUUUGAUAUGGUUGAGAAUUAGUCUUUCCGGUCUCAAUAUUUUAUGGAUAGAUCAUGAAAUUUUUAUCUUGGAAAAUAAUUUGAUUUUGUUUGGAGUCA
rnacentral:lncRNA from 1 species